rnacentral:rRNA from 1 species
GGUGAGUAAUGCCUAGGAAUCUGCCUGGUAGUGGGGGACAACGUUUCGAAAGGAACGCUAAUACCGCAUACGUCCUACGGGAGAAAGCAGGGGACCUUCGGGCCUUGCGCUAUCAGAUGAGCCUAGGUCGGAUUAGCUAGUUGGUGAGGUAAUGGCUCACCAAGGCGACGAUCCGUAACUGGUCUGAGAGGAUGAUCAGUCACACUGAACUGAGACACGGUCCAG